rnacentral:lncRNA from 1 species
AUGACAAAGAUGGGACGCUUUUGCACUGGAUAUUGCAAAUUGUAUGUGUUUAUUUUCCUAUAUUUCCCUGUUCUUCUCUGUGUAGGGCUGUGUAGAAGUGAACACAGGAUGUUCACAUCUGUGAAGGCAACAGAAACGUCAUUCCAAAUUGCAAUGGAGACAGAGAGCAUCCGGUCGGGCGGAUUCUUUACCAAGCUGAGUCACCAGGGAAGCCGGAAGAAGGACCAGCUGGUCUGUUUAUCAGUGACAGAAGACAGGAGGAGGAGAGAACCGUUUCUGAGUGAGGCAAUCAAAUCUGUCUUGGUCGCUUCAUGGCCGGAAGGCCCUCGGAUAGCAAGGCUGGAGUGUGGGAAAUGCUGUCUCCUCACAGGAUGGAUGCCGUCAGGAUUCUUAACCAGCGGAGCACCACGGACGUCCCCCAGGCUCUUUCGUUUGUUCAGCAUUACGUUUAAUUCACGUUGGUAUGACCUGAUACAGGCACAGGAAGGAUCUGAAAACUUCAUCGUCUCCUGUUAUCCUGCAGCAAGAUUGACGUAGAAGAGCUUGCAGGUUGUCAUAGCUUUGUGUUCCUGGCGUUGCAAGAGAUUACACCUUGCGAAAAAGACAUACUCUGUAAGAGAUUUUUUCUAAAAAAACUGGAUCAAAUUCCAGUCUCAGGGUUUUUACAUGGAAACCAACUUGAAAGAGAAUUCCACCAAACAACUGGAAAACAAGUCACAGCCAAUUGAUUUAAAAUAAUACUUGUGCACUUGAUCUGUUUCUAUACAUAACUUGGAGUGGAGUCUAUGAAAUUCUACUGAAAUGUGUGUUCCAUGAAGCGGCGAUGUUGAUCACUCUAUCACCAUAUAAUUGCCUAGAACAAGGGCUUUCCCGGUGGUUCAGACAGUAAAGAAUCCUCCUG